GCCUCUAAAUCAUGGUUGAAAUGUCUCACCGGUGGAACUGAUUAAGUGACAACCAUAUGGAUCCUUCCCCACUCGGUUCACAGAGAAACGCCCUGUUUUCUUUAGAGAGAGGCCUCGUCAGGCGGCCAUGCCAGCCAUCACAGGAGAGAAGGAACAACAUUAUUUUAGAAGCUCUUUAGUUAUGCUAUCUGCAGUGCUUCCCUCUGAGAGGGGACGCCUUCUCCUCUUGUUACUUCAAAAGCAGUCAGAGGCUGAAUUGGGACACUUGAAGAGGAAGCUGCUGCUUCCCAAACCCUGACCUGGGUUGCUCACGCAGUCCUUGGAAGAUGUCACGCAGCUCAGUGCAGGUUUGUGAGCCCGUUUUAAUGGCAGCUCACUGUGCUGGCUGCACAGGGCUUUACCAAGAGGAUGCUGCCUACUCCACCACCGCUCUGUCUAUCAGGCAGUGUUAUUUCACCUGCUCCAAAAAGGAAGAGAGGAAGCAGGUGGAGCAGGGCCCAUCAUUUUUUCCUUCCCUCAUCUCCCUUGUACACUCAUGGCUUAAAUUCUCCCCUCCCUGUUUUCUGAGCCGGAGACAGGCACUACACAAACAGCAAAGAAGUAGCAUUGGCACAAGCUAGCAACUGAGCUAAUGGGAAGGCAGAUAAAAGUAUUUUGGAGAGCUGCUGCCAUCAGACAGGUGGUGGUCCCCAAGUGCCUCUUGUGUGAGGUAAUCGAAGGCUCUGGGAAGGCAGAUGGUGGGAGGUCAUGCACUAAAACACAGGCAAUUGCCCUGACUGAUGCUUCCCUACACGAAACAACCGGGAGUGACCGGGCCACCUCUCGUGCAGAGCUGUGUCCUGCUGGCAGCAGGUGGGGAAGGCUGUUUCCUGUGCUAUAUUAUCAGACUUGGCACUGGAUGACUGAUGCUAAAUUAUUUCAACUAAAAAAAAUAAAAAUAUCCUUUUUUUCAUGCCAGUAUCAGCCAUCAAAAGGGCAGACUGCUCUUCAUUUUAUACUGCGUGUGCCAAUAAAAACAUCAUCA
rnacentral:lncRNA from 1 species